GGGACCUUAGCAUAAUGGUAAUGCAAAUGACUUUUAAUCCUUCCGAUGUUGGUUCGAAUCCGUCAGGUCUCA
rnacentral:tRNA from 1 species